CCCGCGGGGACACGCCGCAGCUUGUCCGCCCUCCCGGGGCUUGGGGAUGGAGCCCACCUCAGUCCCCGCCUCGCCCGGCCCGCCUGGCACCGAGCGCGGGAGGGGCCGGCGCUGGUUUGGAGGGAGUUACCACAUGGUUGCAGCUAUUCCAGUCUCACGUAUGGACUUGCCAUUGAGGAAGAACAAAAUCUCUCCCAAGAGCCCCCUAAGGUCCUAUUGGCCGGGGGUAUGGAAAUACUGUGAUUGGCCAAACCAAAGAGAUUCAUCCCCUGAAGCACGGGAAGGGAACACCUGUACAGAAUCCAGACUUUGCCUACAAGGGAGAGAGGCUUACUGCUAAGGAGGCACUAUCGGAGCUUUCACAGCAAAAAGGGGACAUUUGGAGAUAGACUCGCACCACGUGAACAUGAAGACGGCCAUCUGCAAGC